rnacentral:rRNA from 1 species
CAGUCGCCGCGGGAAUACGGAGGGUGCAAGCGUUAAUCGGAAUUACUGGGCGUAAAGCGCACGCAGGCGGUCUGACAAGUCAGAUGUGAAAUCCCCGGGCUUAACCUGGGAACUGCAUUUGAAACUGUCAGGCUGGAGUCUUGUAGAGGGGGGUGGAAUUCCAGGUGUAGCGGUGAAAUGCGUAGAGAUCUGGAGGAAUACCGGUGGCGAAGGCGGCCCCCUGGACAAAGACUGACGCUCAGGUGCGAAAGCGUGGGGAGCAAACAGGAUUAGAUACCCCUGUAGUCCUGUCUCUUAUACC